rnacentral:rRNA from 1 species
CAGCCGCCGCGGUAAAACGAAGGGUGCAAGCGUUACUCGGAAUUACUGGGCGUAAAGCGUGUGUAGGUGGUUGUUUAAGUCUGUCGUGAUAGCCCUGGGCUCAACCUUGGAAUUGCGAUGGAUACUGGGCGACUAGAGCGCGGUAGAGGAUAGUGGAAUUUCCGGUGUAGCAGUGAAAUGCGUAGAGAUCGGAAGGAACAUCUGUGGCGAAGGCGACUAUCUGGGCCAACACUGACACUGAGACACGAAAGCGUGGGGAGCAAACAGGAUUAGAUACCCCAGUAGUCCCUGUCUCUUAUAC